UUUAUAUAAAUAUUUUGAUGAAUAUUUAUAUAAUAUUAACAUAAUUCAUAUUACUAUAUAUUUUAGUAUAUGAAAUUUUACUUUGAGAAAAUUAGAGUGCUUAAAGCAGGCAUAUGCCUUGAAUACUCCAGCAUGGAAUAAUAUUAAAGAUUUUUAUCUUUCUUAUUGGUUCUAAGAUAAGAAUAAUGAUUAAUAGGGACAGUUGGGGGCAUUUGUAUUUAACAGUCAGAGGUGAAAUUCUUAGAUUUGUUAAAGACAAACUAAUGCGAAAGCAUUUGCCAAGGAUGUUUUCAUUAAUCAAGAACGAAAGUUAGGGGAUCGAAGACGAUCAGAUACCGUCGUAGUCUUAACCAUAAACUAUGCCAACUAGAGAUUGGAGGUUGUUCCUUACUCCUUCAGCACCUUA
rnacentral:rRNA from 1 species